UACGUAGGGGGCAAGCGUUGUUCGGAAUUACUGGGCGUAAAGGGCGCGUAGGCGGCUUAUUAAGUCAGGCGUGAAAUUCCCGGGCUCAACCUGGGGGCUGCGCUUGAUACUGGUGAGCUUGAAUGCGGGAGAGGAUAGUGGAAUUCCCAGUGUAGAGGUGAAAUUCGUAGAUAUUGGGAAGAACACCGGUGGCGAAGGCGGCUAUCUGGCCCGUAAUUGACGCUGAGACGCGAAAGCGUGGGGAGCAAACAGG
rnacentral:rRNA from 1 species